GGGGAAUAUUGGACAAUGGGCGUAAGCCUGAUCCAGCCAUGCCGCGUGAGUGAUGAAGGCCCUAGGGUUGUAAAGCUCCUUCACCGGUGAAGAUAAUGACGGUAACCGGAGAAGAAGCCCCGGCUAACUUCGUGCCAGCAGCCGCGGUAAUACGAAGGGGGCUAGCGUUGUUCGGAAUUACUGGGCGUAAAGCGCACGUAGGCGGAUAUUUAAGUCAGGGGUGAAAUCCCAGAGCUCAACUCUGGAAUUGCUUUUGAUAUUGGGUAUCUCGAGUAUGGAAGAGGUGAGUGGAAUUCCGAGUGUAGAGGUGAAAUUCGUAGAUAUUCGGAGGAACACCAGUGGCGAAGGCGGUUCAUUGGUCCAUUAUUGACGCUGAGGUGCGAAAGCGUGGGGAGCAAAC
rnacentral:rRNA from 1 species